rnacentral:ncRNA from 1 species
AUUCGCUUGACGGGGUGCCGGUGGAACCGGCUGAGAUGGCGCAGGUUCACGCUCGACGACGUUCGAGACAAAACCCAGCGCUGGUCCCGUGGAACCUGAUCCGGGUGGGUGUGGCACGCGCCGCACGUGAACCGGCGUAGGGAAUCAGGCGGCGGGCCGGC